CAAUAUCUAUUGCACCCACAAAGAUGAUAUUUAUUAUAAAAUUUAAUCUCUCUGAUUUUAUGAUCUGAAAUAUAAAUAAAAAUAAUAUUUCUAGAUAAAUAUUGUUGCUACGUCUCUUCGACUGAAUGAUGUGGUGGAGUAGCUAGACCAGUUAGCACAAAACAAACACUACGCUGGGGUAGGCAAGCGACGAGUCGGAACUCUGGUCAUCUGCAAAGAAAGUCUGCA
rnacentral:lncRNA from 1 species